rnacentral:rRNA from 1 species
UGGGGAAUAUUGCGCAAUGGGGGCAACCCUGACGCAGCAACGCCGCGUGAUUGAAGAAGGCCUUCGGGUUGUAAAGAUCUUUAAUCAGGGACGAAUUUUGACGGUACCUGAAGAAUAAGCUCCGGCUAACUACGUGCCAGCAGCCGCGGUAAUACGUAGGGAGCAAGCGUUAUCCGGAUUUACUGGGUGUAAAGGGCGCGCAGGCGGGCCGGCAAGUUGGGAGUGAAAUCCGGGGGCUUAACCCCCGAACUGCUUUCAAAACUGCUGGUCUUGAGUGAUGGAGAGGCAGGCGGAAUUCCGUGUGUAGCGGUGAAAUGCGUAGAUAUACGGAGGAACACCAGUGGCGAAGGCGGCCUGCUGGACAUUAACUGACGCUGAGGCGCGAAAGCGUGGGGAGCAAACA